CAAGUCGAGCGAGAAAAGGGGGGCAACUCCCUGAGUAAAGCGGCGCACGGGUGAGUAACACGUGGGUAAUCUGCCCUGGAGUGGGGAAUAACACCGGGAAACCGGUGCUAAUACCGCAUACGAUAGCGGGAUCUGCGGAUUUCGUUAUGAAAGGAGCAAUUCGCUCUAGGAGGAGCCCGCGGCUGAUUAGCUAGUUGGUGAGGUAAUGGCUCACCAAGGCUACGAUCAGUAUCCGGUCUGAGAGGACGGUCGGACACACUGGAACUGAGACACGGUCCAGACUCCUACGGGAGGCAGCAGUGGGGAAUUUUUGGCAAUGGGGGCAACCCUGACCAAGCAACGCCGCGUGGGUGAUGAAGUCUCUUGGGACGUAAAACCCUUUCGACGGGGAAGAAACCGCAAGGUUGACGGUACCCGUAGAAGAAGCCCCGGCUAACUCCGUGCCAGCAGCCGCGGUAAUACGGGGGGGGCAAGCGUUGUUCGGAAUUACUGGGCGUAAAGGGUGCGUAGGCGGUCUGUUAAGUUGGAUGUGAAAACUCUGGGCUCAACCCANAGCCUGCAUCCAAAACUGGCAGGCUAGAGUUCUGGAGGGGGUAGCGGAAUUCCUGGUGUAGCGGUGAAAUGCGUAGAUAUCAGGAGGAACACCGGUGGCGAAGGCGGCUACCUGGACAGAAACUGACGCUGAGGCACGAAAGCUAGGGGAGCAAACAGGAUUAGAUACCCUGGUAGUCCUAGCCCUAAACGAUGGAUACUUGCUGUGACUGGGAUUGAAUCCAGUCGUGGCGAAGCUAACGCAUUAAGUAUCCCGCCUGGGGAGUACGGUC
rnacentral:rRNA from 1 species